GCUUUGCUUCAGCAGAACACUACCACCCUCUUUGCUAACGCUAUUCAGCCGUACGCAAUACAAAAUGGAACAUCUGAUAGAGGUCCAUUUGGAAUGUUUCCGGAAAUUACAAUAGAAUUCCAUACAAACUCUAUGGCUCUAGCUGCCAUCUGUAGCUGCACUUCCAUCGUUAUUGUCUGUAUAUUCCUGUACUGCUGCUGCCGAGCUAGCCGUAGGGACGGGAACUACGAAUGUUCAUGUGCAUAUGAAAGACCUACAUCGCAUUCAACAUCUAGUAAGAAGUCUUCGGCUCUUAUAUCUGGUUCAAUAUCUAUCAGAAUUCCGACCUCUGAAAGCAGAUAUCAACCUUACAAACCUACAACCGACACAAUAUUUGAACAGUCCGAAAGUGAAGAUAGUUCUGCAGUUAAUAUUGCUCAGAGGAAAACCACAUCGCUUGACGUUUGAAUCCAUUUGAGUAUUUUCGCAACUUACUACAAGGUGUUAAAGCAGACUAAUAAAAUAAUAUUCGACCGUUUAGACAUCUAAUUAAAAAUGUGAAAACCAAUUAAUGCAUUUUUGUCAAAAUUAAAGUUAUAGGCUAUCUGGCUAUUCCUAAAUAUGACUCGAAACUUUACAACAUAAACAUUCCGUUUCAUCCUGAUCAACCAAGCAUCUACAGAGAAGAUUGUUUUCAUAUGUCUUAUGCUCCAUAUUGGAGAAUAUACUGUGCAUCAGUGUUUAUUUGACAUAGCGUUAUAGUUUGUCACGAAGAUCUAUGAAUAUUCUACAUGUUCUAUGUAUUUAUAUUUUUAUAAUGUACAUUCCAUUUUUGUAUAUUUUUAUUAAAUCAUGAUAUAUUUUUAAAA